GGAGGCACCUGAGGACAGGUACUGCCUAGUGUCCAGGCAGGACAGAGACCAAGGCCAGGUCAGAGGGCGGGCAGUAGGUCCCAGGCUUUGGGUUGAGGUUCAAGCACUAGGCCCUGGGGACUGGGGGAGCAAGACCGCUGAAGAUACGGAGAUGCUGGCAGGAGGCAGGAUUGAGAACUGGGCGCAAGGGACUUCAUUGUGAGCCCGGGGGCUGGACCAGAGCUGCUUGGAGCCCUCCCGUCUGAGGACGGGAUGGAACCUAGCGAGCAAGGAGGCUGGACAUGGGAGGGCGUCCGGGGUGAAGGGGUCGGGGGUCAGGAGCCCGGGCUCCAAAGGGAAAUCGUUGCGGUUCGGACCCUGGCGUCCCGCUCGCCAGCCACGUGGCCUCGGCAGACACGGGACUUUCUCUCCUUCGGCGGAACCAGGAACCAGCCCUGCCUCACAGGCUGUGCCACGUCCAGACGGGGUCAGGCGGGGAGGCCCUCGGCUCUGUGUCUGGGACGCACGAGCUCUGCUGGCGUGAUUGAUCCGCGGGGACAGCCAGCCGGGCGGUGUCUACCGUCCAGAGUGUCCCUCCCGGGCUCUGCCGGCUGGGACCCCCGGGCCGAGGCCCCUCUGGGCGGACGCUCCCGGCCCCGUCAGCCUCUGCUUUAGCGUCUGUGUUCCUGACCCUUCACUCCCUGCGUGAGCUCUUUCCAGACUGAAAACAGGUGGCUGUCUCAAGAGGCCAGAGGUCACCCCUGGAGCCGUUGUCAGAUGCUGGCUUCCUUCUCGAAAGCUCCCUCAGGCCUGGGCGGGGCGAUGGGCCUCUGGGAGGCUACCUUCACCCACCCUUUGCGUUUUUCCUUCUCAAAUUCUGUUUCACCCUUCCCUCCUCACCAGAAGCAGAGGCAGAAUGGCAAACCCAAAACGAAAAGACACACACAACGACACACACACACACGCAACUAGAAAAACCUCAGCCUCUAUCUGUUUCCACCCCGCCGGCCACGUCCCAGGCCAGAGAUGGCAGGUGUGCCCCGCUCAGGACUCCUGUGUCCCUCCCCCACCCGGAGAAGCAGAGCUGCCCGCGCAAAGCCUUGGUCCACUGUGACUUGUGUCAUUUGUGACUAUGGUGUGCUUUUUGUUUUUCUUAGGGUAUUACAAUGUGCGUGUCCACAUUAUUUUAGAUAAGGCUGAAUAUGAAAUUGGAAUUAUAUCACUUCUUCCCCCAAGAGCCUGUCCUGCGUCCCCAGCCUCCUGGAAGGACAGCGCCACCAAAUACCUCAUCUGCAACCGGGAGCCCAGAGAGGGCCUUCGGCAGCCUCCCUCCGGUGACGGUGUCACGCUGCGCUCAGCCCUUCGCACCGGAGCCUGGGGUUCACUCCGCUCCCCCCAGCCCUCCCGCGAGGCUUGUCAGCGCCACCUCCAGAAGCGUCCCCAGAGCAGCCCCUUUCCCGUCUCCGCCACCUCCGUCCAGAAGCAGCCUCGUCUGUCCCCUGGGCUCCCGCAGGAGCGCCUGGCCUUCCCCUUCGCCCGCUCUCCGUGCAGCAGUCAAGGUGACGCUUCUGCUUAACACUGAACGCACCCUAAGUGCGCACCCAGAUCCAGCCGCCGGGAUGGGCCCCCGUCCCCCGCCUCCGUCCCUGCGGUGAGGCCAGUGCUCCCUCCCUCCCUCCACUGCUCAGUUAGCCGUGCUCCAUCCUCACCCGGGACUCUGCCCUGGCCCUUCCCUCCCUGGCACACCCUCUCCCCACAUGUGCCCACGGCCGUCUUCUUGCCACACGGGUCGGCUCCUCAGCGACGCCUUCGUGACCACUCCCUCUGGGUAGCCUCUGGCCCCCGACACGCUCGGUGCCUCACCCGGUCUUCCUGUCAGUACAGAGGGGCCACUCCCUCUUCUUUUCUUGUUUAUCUACUCGUCUGAUGCCUUCAUUUAGAAAGUAAGUUCCUCAGAGUUCCCCUGUGGUGCAGGGGGUUAAGGAUCUGGCGUUGUCACUGCUGCGGCUGAGGUGGCCGCUGUGACACAGCUUCCAUCCCUGGCCCAGGAGUUUCCACGUGCCACGGGCAUGGCCACAGAGAGGUAAGUUUCUCCCAGGGAAGGGCUCCAUCAUUGUAUUCACUUCCAGAUCCAGAUAAUCCUUAGCGUGUCCCAAAUGGGCGAUGCCUACUCCGCCGAAACAUUCGUCAUGGUUGAUCUGAAAUUCAAGUUUAGCCAGGCGCCCUGUUUUCUAACUGACACUCCUACCCGAGGCCCAUGGUACCACAUCUCGGGGACAUGGUGCCAAGAGCGGAAGCCAGACUGAAGAGAAGAGAGCAAAUGAUGUGGGCGAGAGAGGGGGCGGGAGAGGCAGAAAUGCAGAGGCCCUGGUGGCCCAGUGUUCGCCCUCUGACGGUGUCGGGAAGUCCCACAGCUCGGUGGCCCAAGGUCAGUGCCACCCCUGUCCUUUCUGUACUUUGUUUCCAGGCAUCAGUAAAGUCCCCUUUCACUUCGAAAUAACAGCCGACAUUCUUGAGCACGUAUGUGUGCCAGGCACUGGGCCGAGCGCUUGGAUGCACUGUCUCGCUGAGGCUGUCACCUCAGGGUCACCUCACACAGCUCGCUGAGGGUGUUGCUGUUGUGGCAUCUACAGAGGAAGCGCUGAGGGACAGAGACCCUAAAUAACGUCCUCAAGGUCACGCAGACUUGAAGCGGCAGAGCUGGGCUGCACAGCCAGGCCGUCCGAGGCCAGCGUGUGGGGCCACUGUGGGGAGAAGCCGUCCCUCACCCCCCAGGAGGUCCCAGGUGGCUUGGGUCGAGCAGACACCGGACUGCUGACCCUCGUGCGGCAGGCGGCAUCACGUGUGGGCUCAGGAACCAGACGAGCCAGGCUCCAAGCCACCUCCCUCACCCCUGGGGUGACUUUGGGAAAGCUCCCCUCUUGCCCUGAGCCUCAGCUUCCUCUCCUAGAAAGUGGAGUUGACAGUAGCAGUAGCUCUUGCACAGGAUGGACGUGGGGCUUUGAUGAAUUAAUGCCUGUAUACACACACGUAAAGAGCCAUCAGAUGAGUGAGCCUUUAAUAAAUAUUUACGGACAUUUUUAUUAUUUGCAGCUUUUCUCUGAUGCCCAGCACAGGCCCUGGCACGAAGGAAGUGCUCCUGAUUCCUGCAAGAAUGAAACCCUGCCAAGUCGGUGACUUACAGUUGAGGAAACGGAGGCUUCGAGACAUCGAGUGACCACAGAGGCCACAGAGAGAGGCCCAGAGGCUCCGACGUGCUCCUCACAGUACCCGUGCCUUUGCCCGCGCUGUGAGCCGUUAGGCGGGCAUAGGGUCCCGUUUUAUGGAGGAGGCACAGCGAGGUACAGCUCCUGCUGGAGGUCACGUCGGUGAUAAGAGCAGAGCAGGUCUGAAGCCAGCUUCCUCUGCCUCCCAGUCGAGUCUUUGUCCCCUGUACUCAACCGCUGCCCUCCGGAGAACCCCCCAAAGCACGGCAUCCCUCAGAUCUCCCAGCGACACCCGCCGAUCCCCUUCCUGCUGCGCGGAUGCCCGGCUGGGGCUCUGCCUGUGUCCCUGUGUCCACUGCCUCCCGCCUUCGUCCUGUCCUUCGCGGGCCACCGCCAGGGUCAGCUUUCAGAAAAACGCCUCCGAGUCCAGGGCCCUUGCUGGUCCUUCCGGGGUCCUUGACCGGAGCGCUGUGGUCUGGCCGGUUUUCCCUUCUGCUCCUUGAGCUCUGCGCUCGGGCUGGGCGGGAUGUGCCUUGUUCUCUCUGCCCUUGCGCUCGCCCUCCUCUCCUUUGCCAAGUCACCCUUCAGGGCUCAGGGACGUGUCUCUUCCUCCUGGAAGCCUUCCUUCCUGGGUCCCAGUCCUCUUCCUGUGUGUGCCUCGGCUCGGGUUCUUCGUCCUCUCUGUUGGAACCGCCUUUUUACAGAAGGAUCUGUCCCGUGUUCCCGGAAGGCAGGGGCUGCGUCCGCCUAUUCUCCCUGCAUCCCUCGAGCCCGGCGUGUUGGGUGCUGGGUGCCGGGUGGAGGCGCUUGGGGGAAAGCUGGUGAAUGAAGGAGGUUCCCAAAGACGUGAUGUUUUCUUGCACCGAGCACCAGGCUCAGGUGGCUGGCACACAGUAGGCUCUCCAUGCAUAUUUGUUUAGUGGAGGGUGGGUGAGUAUGUGCACUAAUAAACGUCACGGUUCGGGAGCUCCUGUCUUGGCGCAGAAGUUAACGAAUCCAACUAGGAACCAUGAGGGUGCGG